rnacentral:tRNA from 1 species
UGCCCCGUGGUGUAAUUGGCAACACGCCGGAUUCUGGUUCCGGAGAGUCUAGGUUCGAUCCCUAGCGGGGCAA